rnacentral:lncRNA from 1 species
AGCAGAAGGAGACGUACCGCCGCAUGCUAGAGCAGCUGCUGCUGGCUGAGAAGUGUCACAGGCGCACCGUGUACGAGCUGGAGAACGAGAAGCACAAGCACACUGACUACAUGAACAAGAGCGACGACUUCACCAACCUGCUGGAGCAGGAGCGAGAGAGAAAGCGUCGUCAUUCACCAGUUACGCAUGAGCUCCAGAUGAGAUUACCAAGCACAGCACUCAAUCAUCACUGUGGUCACCAAGGCUAUUGAUGUUGACUGGAAACACCUCAUGACUUCCAGUGAUUUUCUUUUUUUGGAGGAUACAAUUUAGCAGUUAAAAACCACAUUGUGGGGGACAUGAACAUCUGUGGCAAACGCCAUUGAUCUUUGUGCCCAGAAAAAGGUUUCUUCUCUUUGCAAAGUGUUCAGGCAUGUGGGCACAUGCUGCAUAAUGGAUUUGUAUAAUACAUUUUGUAAUGUGAUUUUUCCCCCUAAAUUGUCUCUUUUCUCAUAGUCCAUGGUGCGUGUAUCUGUAGAUUGUAAUGUCAAUUCUUCGCAGUAUUGUGUAUUCAAAAGAGGUUAACCUAUCAUUUUCCUUUGAUUAAUUCAUUAUUUUUUAAGGAAAAGAAAGUACAACACCAUUUCCCUGGACAACUUCACAAGGUAAACCUAGAAGCAGGAGAUCCUGGGAAUUUUAUUGAUUGAACAAUGUUAUGGUUCUAACCCUGGCCCAACACUGAAAACAGUGUCCUGACUUAGGAGUUUAAGUACUUGAAACCAAUUGAUAAUUGUCUCCUUCGCUGUUCUGAGUGGGAAACAAACAGCUUUGACUGACAGUUCAAUUUUAUUUCUAUCUGCAUUGUUCAAUUCUGUGUACAAAACAUAAUAGUGACUUUGAUGUUGCUUUAUUUCCCACGUAUUAAUGCUCCCCACGAAAGCUUGCAAAUAAAAAC